UACGGGAGGCAGCAGUGGGGAAUAUUGCACAAUGGGCGCAAGCCUGAUGCAGCCAUGCCGCGUGUAUGAAGAAGGCCUUCGAGUUGUAAAGUACUUUCAGUCGUGAGGAAGGUGUUAAGGUUAAUAACCUUAGCAAUUGACGUUAGCGACAGAAGAAGCACCGGCUAACUCCGUGCCAGCAGCCGCGGUAAUACGGAGGGUGCGAGCGUUAAUCGGAAUUACUGGGCGUAAAGGGCACGCAGGCGGUUAAUUAAGUUGGAUGUGAAAUCCCCGGGCUUAACCUGGGAAUGGCAUUCAAGACUGGUUAGCUAGAGUCUUGUAGAGGGGGUAGAAUUCCAUGUGUAGCGGUGAAAUGCGUAGAGAUGUGGAGGAAUACCGGGUGGCGAAGGCGGCCCCUGGGACAAAGACUGACGCUCAUGUGCGAAAGCGUGGGGAGCAAACGAGGAUUAGAUACC
rnacentral:rRNA from 1 species